rnacentral:rRNA from 1 species
GGGAUUAGUGGCGGACGGGUGAGUAACACGUGGGAACGUGCCUUUUGGUUCGGAACAACUCAGGGAAACUUGAGCUAAUACCGGAUAAGCCCUUCGGGGGAAAGAUUUAUCGCCAUUAGAGCGGCCCGCGUACGAUUAGCUAGUUGGUGGGGUAAUGGCCCACCAAGGCUACGAUCCUUAGCUGGUCUGAGAGGAUGAUCAGCCACAUUGGGACUGAGACACGGCCCAAACUCCUACGGGAGGCAGCAG